rnacentral:rRNA from 1 species
UGACUAAGCCAUGCGAGUCGAGAGGGUUCGGCCCUCGGCGUACUGCUCAGUAACACGUGGAUAACCUGCCCUAGGGAAGGGGAUAACCCCGGGAAACUGGGGAUAAUACCCUAUAGAUUACAGAUGCUGGAAUGCCCUGUAAUCCAAAGUUCCGACGCCCUAGGAUGGAUCUGCGGCCGAUUAGGUUGUUGUUGGGGUAAUGGCCCAACAAGCCCGUAAUCGGUACGGGUUGUGGGAGCAAGAGCCCGGAGUUGGAUUCUGAGACACGAAUCCAGGCCCUACGGGGCGCAGCAGACGCGAAAACUUUACAAUGCGGGCAACCGUGAUAAGGGAACCUCGAGUGCCUGUAAAUGCAGGCUGUUCAGGUGCCUAAAACACACCUGAAGAAAGGGCCGGGCAAGACCGGUGCCAGCCGCCGCGGUAAUACCGGCGGCUCGAGUGGUGGCCGCUUUUAUUGGGCUUAAAGCGUUCGUAGCUGGGUUGUUAAGUCUCUUGGGAAAUCUGGCGGCUUAACCGUCAGGCGUCUAAGGGAUACUGGCAAUCUUGGAACCGGGAGAGGUGAGGGGUACUUCGGGGGUAGGAGUGAAAUCCUGUAAUCCUCGAGGGACCACCUGUGGCGAAGGCGCCUCACCAGAACGGCUUCGACAGUGAGGGACGAAAGCUGGGGGAGCAAACCGGACUAGAUACCCGGGUAGUCCCAGCCGUAAACUAUGCGCGUUAGGUGUAUCGGUGACCACGAGUUACCGAGGUGCCGAAGGGAAACCGUGAAACGUGCCGCCUGGGAAGUACGGUCGCAAGGCUGAAACUUAAAGGAAUUGGCGGGGGAGCA